AAUGAACAAGGAAGGUUGUGCACUUUACAUAAAAUGUUUAUAUUCAGUUUACUUAUAAUAAUUGUAUUUGUUGACUUGAAAUGUUUUUUUCUAUUAAGGUCCACGUAAUUAUGUCUCAACUUGACUCUACAAAAUCUUAACGCGUUGUCUAAACACAAACCAUUUAUGUUAAGUAAAAAAAUCUUACAUCCAGAGGGUGGCAGUAUAGUGCGACGCCAACUGCCACGAAACCCCAAAGAAGAAGAAAAGCAAGACGCGCAAUGAUAUUUGACUCUGCACACCUGCAUGAUCCCCUGCAAAGCUUUUCCUCGAUUGGAUUUGACAGAAGGACGUCUUAUAUUUUUUACAGCUGGUAAAGGUCCUUAAUGAAAGGUGUGUUUUGUGUUCCUGCCAAGGUGCUUUACUCACAAUAGAAUGAAACUGUUGAAAAGAAGAGGGAGUUCCUCCUCAUGGCACUUUGUAUCCAUCUAAAUGAAGAUCCGAGCAGUCUCUUCAAAGACUAUCUGGAUUCAGAUGGCUGUGCUGCCCAUAGGGACCUUGAACAAGUUGUCUUUGGCAUCUACAGCAUUAAUGCUGAGGAAGGUGAUGCCACCACCAUUCCAGUUGAUGUUGGAAUAGUGGUUGAGGGUGUUGAAGUGCUUCACGACUUGGGAGACAUCGCUUCUGCAUGUGCACUCUUAAUGGGUGUCAUAUAUGCAAUGAACCUCAGUUAUCCUCAAGAACUGAAAACAUUCUUUGAGGUGCUUCAGAAAAUCUUCCUCCAGCUGGAUGCUACGAGACUCUCAACCAAGGUACAGAUGCUUAAAAACAAACUGUAUGAGUGAACCAACAUUGAGCGUGUGGCGUUUAACAUGAAGGCCUUUGCACUUGAAACCAUUAAAUUGAAAAACACUUUAAAGUUUAUAUACCUUUUUUCUUUUCUUUUUUUUGUGUGACGCACCACUGUUCUGGGUGACAUGUUUCUUUGUAAAGUGUGUCCAGAGUUUUUUUUUCUUUUUUCUACAGCAUUAAUGCUGAGGGAGGAGAUGCCACCACCAAUCCAGUUGAUGUUGGAAUAGUGUUUUUUUGUGUAAUACGCACCACUGUUCUGGUGACAUGUUUCUUUGUCAUGUAAAGCGUGUACAGAUGCUUAAAAACAAACCGUAUGAGUGAACCAACAUUGAGCACUUAAAAGUUUGUGGCGUUUAACAUAAAGGCCUGCUUUGCACUUGAAAACAUUUGAAAAUUUGAAAUAUAAUAUGAAAUAUUAUACCUUUUUUUGCACCAGUGUUCUGUGUGACAUGCAUGUAAAGCGUGUCCAGAGUUUUUAUUUUAAGGUUAAGAUAACCCUCUUUAAAUGCUGUCACUCAUUGGUAUGUUUAAAUGUGUGUUUUUCUGUUUUGUAAAACAGAAUUUGUUUUCUUGUGUUGGUGAAUAAAGGAACUAACAAAUGUUGAGUUGAGUUUAAUGAAGUAAUUUGUGUGGAACCUGUUGACAAACUAGAUUUAAUUUAACCUAGCUAGUAAAAAUUAAAGUAAGUGAAGGCAUUUUAUUUUGAUUAAUUAAGCUUGAAUUGAAUGUUUUGUUGUAAAAUCAUUAGUUUAUAUUGAAUAGACAAAUAUGUAAUAUGCAGCUUCUAAGUAAAUUUUGUUAGUCCAUAUAACAUAACUGACUUUAGUAAGUUAAACUCAAACGUCUCUUGUUGAGUAAAAAUUAGUGAUAAUAGUUGGCUUGAGUCAAAAAUAUUAUUUCUUCCUAAAACAACCCCAUUAAGUUAGAUAACCUUGAAAUAUUUGUUUUCAACUUUCAUAAUUAUAUUUUGUGGAACCUGUUGACAAAAAUUUUUUAAUUAAAGUCAAGGUUUCAUUUUUUUGAGUGUGUCUAGUCACACGGUUUUCAUCUUUUUGACAGUGUACUCCGAGGCAGUAUUGAUUGGCGAGAUUUCUUUACUUAUAUUUAAUGCUGAAUGCUGUCUCAGCCCAUGUGAAAACCAGCCCAUGUGAACAUCCAUCUCUUUAAUUCCUCGGGGACCUGUUACAGACUUCUCCAUCUUAUUACACUCACACACUCUCACUUUCCCCUUCCCCCAAUAUGAAAACAUUUGCUCAGUAGAGUGACUGAAAAAGAUAAAGAAGCUUGCAGAUACUGAACAAAGAGCUGGUAUGUGCUCCGUCUCUCAUUUAAGCGGACUGAGAUUUUGUGCAUCAGGAUUCAUGUAUGGUGUCUUUCGGUAAGUAUUGUAAGCACCUGACAAGCAUGUUUGCGUGUGUUGGGAACCAGGUCUACUUUGUGCUGACAACAUCAGCUCAUCAUAAUUAUAUGAGGGUUCAUAUAUCCCACAAUCGUGAAAGGCACACUCUCUCUCA